rnacentral:rRNA from 1 species
GACGAACGCUGGCGGCGUGCCUAAUACAUGCAAGUAGGACGCAGUUGCGAACGGGUGAGUAACGCGUAGGUAACUGCCUAUUAGAGGGGGAUAACUAUUGGAAACGAUAGCUAAUACCGCAUACUAGUAGAUGGACCUGCGUUGUAUUAGCUAGUAGGUAGGGUAAUUGCCUACCUAGGCAACGCUCCAUAGUCGACCUGGAGAGGGGACCCGCCAAACUGGGACUGAGACACGGACCAGACUACUACGGGAGGCAGCCGUAGGGAAUCUUCGGCAAUUGGGGGCACCCUGACCGAGCAACGCCGCGGGAGUGAAGAAGGUUUUCGGAUAGUAAAGCUCGGUUGUUAAGGAAGCGGUACGUAACCAGAAAGGGACGGCUAACUACGUGCCAGCAGCCGCGGUAAUAC